UACGUAGGGGGCGAGCGUUGUCCGGAUUUAUUGGGCGUAAAGAGCUAGUAGGCGGUUCGGUAAGUCGGGUGUGAAACCUCCAGGCUCAACCUGGAGACGCCACCCGAUACUGCUGUGACUAGAGUCCAGUAGGGGAGCGUGGAAUUCCUGGUGUAGCGGUGAAAUGCGCAGAUAUCAGGAGGAACACCAGUGGCGAAGGCGGCGCUCUGGGCUGGAACUGACGCUGAGGAGCGAAAGCGUAGGGAGCGAACAGG
rnacentral:misc_RNA from 1 species